ensembl:lncRNA
AUGAAAGAGAAGCAGGCUUCAAAACAGAUAAUGAAUUUCUUCUAACUUGUCUGGAAACUGAAGAGCUAUAAUUCUGAUUGAUCAGAUAUGGUCUGCCUCAGAGAGACACCAGAUGUGAUCCAGAUUUUAAAUAGAUGCUGCUACUGUCAAAAUGUAUUUGCUCCCUCCUGGUAUAACAAAGUGAAGUCCAUCUGUCUGGAGUUGUGUACUUUUUUUAGUGGUAAUAACAGCUAACAUCGACAAUAAGCUUUGUCUCAUUAGUAUCACAUAAUCCCUACUACCAAGUCCCCAGUUUCUGGUCCCCAUAUUAUCUGCCUCGCAAAAAAUAAAGACCACAGCAGGAGCUAAGAAGGUCAGUGCAUUCUCAGGGUAAUCAGCUGUAGUAAAUUCAAUUCUGACAAGACAAGGCUUGCAAAUGUCUGGGGAAUUAAGGGAUCAUCUAUAAUUUUAUAUGUUGAGUGGGAAAGUGUCCUUCCCAACAUUUAUUAAUUACAGAUGAUGCAUAUGAUGGUCAUCCUUGGAGAGAUUCCUUCUGAAUUAAAGCUAGAAAAAUAGAUUUAACUGUUUGACUUUUCCUCUCGGGAAAAACUACUUCUUUUAGUCUUGCAAUAGUUUCAGUCAGUAAUUUUUCUUCCCCAGUUUUUAUCCCUCUGUCUUAGCAACUGAUGCCUGUCACCCUCUGUGAAACUUUUUGCAUAAAAUUUUCCUCUGUCAUCAAUAGGAAAGCCUUCCGUCGCUUUAGUCUGGGCUCAGUGCCACCUCCCCAGUGUUUGCAGCCCUUAAGAAGUAGCAAGUGAAGAACAAUAAAGAGAAGAACUUUGCAUUUAGAAUUGAACCUUUCACCUGAAGAUCUCAGAGCACUUUAGAAACCUUAAUUACUCCCCUUUGAGGUCUGUAUUGUCCUCUUUCUUUUACAGAUGAAGAAAUUAAAGCACAGUGAGGUUAGAAGCUGAUGUUUUCCAAAUUGGGCAGCUGAAGUAUCCUUCUGCGUCCCUUUGUGGCUGGGCUUUGGUUCUGCGAUACUGAAUCGUCUCCCUGCUCCCCGGCAGUUCUGCCAGCAGCAACCUGCCGGACACAGACUCUUUGGGCCCUCGAUUAUCCCGUAUGAUGUGGCUGCCAACAGGACCAUCGCCUCUUUCUUAGGUGCCCCUGAAUGCAGGGCAAAAAUGCCAGCGGUGGAAAGGGAAUUUCUGCAAGAAGCCCAUACGAGCUUCCUCCUCUGCUCUGGUGGGUAUCAGCGCUUUAUGGGAAGGGACAACAUCCAGUUCCAGGAGCUGUAGGGAUGCUGUGCUCCCAGGAUCCUGCUUGCUGGUAAAAUUCAGAUUUUGGCCACCAAGAGAAGAAGCAUCCAUAUGUGACAUUAUGGUUGCAGCCUCUGUUCCUACUGGACCAAGCCAGGAAGGGCAAAAGGACAUUUUUGAUCAAAGCCUCUUCCCCUGAUUUCUAAGUCCAGAUAAAUUCAAACAUUCUUAUCUUUGGGGGGAACUUCCCCUUCCUGUCCUGUACCUCCCUGGGAGAGAGUCCUUCAUCAAAGAGGGCUGGUGCCCUAAGGUACAUGUAGCACUAUCCUUAGCUAGUAGGGAAAAAUCUGACCCCUCCUGGUUGUUCCUAAGGGUCAGCAAAGUUCCUUGUUAGUGAAAUGCUCCUUUUUUUUUUCUUCUCCUCUUCGUGGAACUUACAAUCUGAGAGCACAUUUCACCUGUGGGUGAAGGAGCACAAGUCAAAACCCACCAACCCUGCAGAACAAGGCCAUGGCCAUAUAUUCAGAAACUUGUGCAUAGCUGGAAGUGAAAGAGGAUGAAGAGGUUGUUUGAGAUACAAGUGGGAACUGAAGAAGAAAAUAUUCAUUCCUCCUGCUUAAACUUGAGCUGGAUCCACAUUUUGGAUUGCCAUGUUUGUAAAUAAAGUGGCUGUAGUAAUGCA